rnacentral:rRNA from 1 species
GUCCACGCAGUAAACGAUGAUCACUAGCUGUUUGCGAUACACGGUAAGCGGCACAGCGAAAGCGUUAAGUGAUCCACCUGGGGAGUACGCCGGCAACGGUGAAACUCAAAGGAAUUGACGGGGGCCCGCACAAGCGGAGGAACAUGUGGUUUAAUUCGAUGAUACGCGAGGAACCUUACCCGGGUUUGAACGCAUUUCGACCGCUCUGGAAACAGAUCCUCUAGCGAUAGCGAUUUGCGAGGUGCUGCAUGGUUGUCGU